AUAUGAUGUCGGCCAUCCUCGUUGCCUACCUCACUACAUCAUGUAUGUAUAUACGGACUCCUCUUGAAUAUAAGCACAUACUUUGAACUCCCCCAUCAUAAGGUGAGCCGUUGUAGGAGUCACAAACGAUUGGAGCCCAUCAUGGUGGAAGGCUGUUGGAAAUGUGCCCUAAAACCAAUCAUAUGAUGAUACUUUACGGACAUUUCACAUGUUAAACUAAUCU
rnacentral:lncRNA from 1 species